UUAAGCGACUAAGCGUACACGGUGGAUGCCCUGGCAGUCAGAGGCGAUGAAGGACGUGCUAAUCUGCGAUAAGCGUCGGUAAGGUGAUAUGAACCGUUAUAACCGGCGAUUUCCGAAUGGGGAAACCCAGUGUGUUUCGACACACUAUCAUUAACUGAAUCCAUAGGUUAAUGAGGCGAACCGGGGGAACUGAAACAUCUAAGUACCCCGAGGAAAAGAAAUCAACCGAGAUUCCCCCAGUAGCGGCGAGCGAACGGGGAGCAGCCCAGAGCCUGAAUCAGUGUGUGUGUUAGUGGAAGCGUCUGGAAAGGCGCGCGAUACAGGGUGACAGCCCCGUACACAAAAAUGCACAUGCUGUGAGCUCGAUGAGUAGGGCGGGACACGUGGUAUCCUGUCUGAAUAUGGGGGGACCAUCCUCCAAGGCUAAAUACUCCUGACUGACCGAUAGUGAACCAGUACCGUGAGGGAAAGGCGAAAAGAACCCCGGCGAGGGGAGUGAAAAAGAACCUGAAACCGUGUACGUACAAGCAGUGGGAGCACGCUUAGGCGUGUGACUGCGUACCUUUUGUAUAAUGGGUCAGCGACUUAUAUUCUGUAGCAAGGUUAACCGAAUAGGGGAGCCGAAGGGAAACCGAGUCUUAACUGGGCGUUAAGUUGCAGGGUAUAGACCCGAAACCCGGUGAUCUAGCCAUGGGCAGGUUGAAGGUUGGGUAACACUAACUGGAGGACCGAACCGACUAAUGUUGAAAAAUUAGCGGAUGACUUGUGGCUGGGGGUGAAAGGCCAAUCAAACCGGGAGAUAGCUGGUUCUCCCCGAAAGCUAUUUAGGUAGCGCCUCGUGAAUUCAUCUCCGGGGGUAGAGCACUGUUUCGGCAAGGGGGUCAUCCCGACUUACCAACCCGAUGCAAACUACGAAUACCGGAGAAUGUUAUCACGGGAGACACACGGCGGGUGCUAACGUCCGUCGUGAAGAGGGAAACAACCCAGACCGCCAGCUAAGGUCCCAAAGUCAUGGUUAAGUGGGAAACGAUGUGGGAAGGCCCAGACAGCCAGGAUGUUGGCUUAGAAGCAGCCAUCAUUUAAAGAAAGCGUAAUAGCUCACUGGUCGAGUCGGCCUGCGCGGAAGAUGUAACGGGGCUAAACCAUGCACCGAAGCUGCGGCAGCGACGCUUAUGCGUUGUUGGGUAGGGGAGCGUUCUGUAAGCCUGCGAAGGUGUGCUGUGAGGCAUGCUGGAGGUAUCAGAAGUGCGAAUGCUGACAUAAGUAACGAUAAAGCGGGUGAAAAGCCCGCUCGCCGGAAGACCAAGGGUUCCUGUCCAACGUUAAUCGGGGCAGGGUGAGUCGACCCCUAAGGCGAGGCCGAAAGGCGUAGUCGAUGGGAAACAGGUUAAUAUUCCUGUACUUGGUGUUACUGCGAAGGGGGGACGGAGAAGGCUAUGUUGGCCGGGCGACGGUUGUCCCGGUUUAAGCGUGUAGGCUGGUUUUCCAGGCAAAUCCGGAAAAUCAAGGCUGAGGCGUGAUGACGAGGCACUACGGUGCUGAAGCAACAAAUGCCCUGCUUCCAGGAAAAGCCUCUAAGCAUCAGGUAACAUCAAAUCGUACCCCAAACCGACACAGGUGGUCAGGUAGAGAAUACCAAGGCGCUUGAGAGAACUCGGGUGAAGGAACUAGGCAAAAUGGUGCCGUAACUUCGGGAGAAGGCACGCUGAUAUGUAGGUGAAGUCCCUCGCGGAUGGAGCUGAAAUCAGUCGAAGAUACCAGCUGGCUGCAACUGUUUAUUAAAAACACAGCACUGUGCAAACACGAAAGUGGACGUAUACGGUGUGACGCCUGCCCGGUGCCGGAAGGUUAAUUGAUGGGGUCAGCGCAAGCGAAGCUCUUGAUCGAAGCCCCGGUAAACGGCGGCCGUAACUAUAACGGUCCUAAGGUAGCGAAAUUCCUUGUCGGGUAAGUUCCGACCUGCACGAAUGGCGUAAUGAUGGCCAGGCUGUCUCCACCCGAGACUCAGUGAAAUUGAACUCGCUGUGAAGAUGCAGUGUACCCGCGGCAAGACGGAAAGACCCCGUGAACCUUUACUAUAGCUUGACACUGAACAUUGAGCCUUGAUGUGUAGGAUAGGUGGGAGGCUUUGAAGUGUGGACGCCAGUCUGCAUGGAGCCGACCUUGAAAUACCACCCUUUAAUGUUUGAUGUUCUAACGUUGACCCGUAAUCCGGGUUGCGGACAGUGUCUGGUGGGUAGUUUGACUGGGGCGGUCUCCUCCUAAAGAGUAACGGAGGAGCACGAAGGUUGGCUAAUCCUGGUCGGACAUCAGGAGGUUAGUGCAAUGGCAUAAGCCAGCUUGACUGCGAGCGUGACGGCGCGAGCAGGUGCGAAAGCAGGUCAUAGUGAUCCGGUGGUUCUGAAUGGAAGGGCCAUCGCUCAACGGAUAAAAGGUACUCCGGGGAUAACAGGCUGAUACCGCCCAAGAGUUCAUAUCGACGGCGGUGUUUGGCACCUCGAUGUCGGCUCAUCACAUCCUGGGGCUGAAGUAGGUCCCAAGGGUAUGGCUGUUCGCCAUUUAAAGUGGUACGCGAGCUGGGUUUAGAACGUCGUGAGACAGUUCGGUCCCUAUCUGCCGUGGGCGCUGGAGAACUGAGGGGGGCUGCUCCUAGUACGAGAGGACCGGAGUGGACGCAUCACUGGUGUUCGGGUUGUCAUGCCAAUGGCACUGCCCGGUAGCUAAAUGCGGAAGAGAUAAGUGCUGAAAGCAUCUAAGCACGAAACUUGCCCCGAGAUGAGUUCUCCCUG
rnacentral:rRNA from 1 species